rnacentral:lncRNA from 1 species
ACGCCACCUUGCCUUACAAAGAUACCUUCUUGGUAUCUUUCAUCAAGUUCAUAAUCAGGAUAUUCUGGAAAAAAAGGUAGGGUUUCAAUUUAGCAUUUGGGGUAGGGGGACUAAGAAAUAAGUCUAUGGCAAUUAUUGCAGAAAGCAAAUGAUCAUAUGUCUCACCAAGCAUUUCAGUGACUUUGACUGUUCCUGGUACCUCAGCAGGCUCACCAGGUCCACCAGCAUUACAAGCUAGGACGCGGAACCUGUAUUCUGCACCCUGAGAAUCAGAGGUGGGGAGAGUGGUGGAAGGGCCUGUGGACUUACGGAUGCUGCUGCGACACUCUAUGACCUCAGACUGCAAGUAAGAGCCAAUCCCGAAGCGGUUUGUUGCAGCCACACGGAACACAUACUCAUUUCCUUCGAUGAUAGCCAAUGACUCUACUUCCUCCAUCACUGAUUGGCUCAUUCCAUUGUACUUCCAUGCUGUCCCUGGAGGACAGUGUGACAACUGGAGUGCCAGGAGGACCAGGAACUUUGAAUGGAUAUUGGGCUACAGUAGGCUCUGAAUUGAGGUGGCUGCCAUGAGAUAGUCAUGUGUUCAGGAGUAACAUCCAGAAUAUUAAUAGGACCUGUUGGUGGCCCAGGAACAUCAAGAACAGUAAGAUGUACGGCUACUGUUUUGCUACCGGCUGCAUUGGAAACUGUGAUUUGAUAUUCCCCAGUGUCUCUCCUUAAGCAGUUCUUAAUGAGAAUAGACGCCUUGAUGGCUCCUCUGGCAGUUCUUGAUGACCAUGGAUGAGCUAAUGGCUGUGGUCUCAAUGGUGGCUUCUUGAGGAGCAUGCAGAGAAAUUGCUUUAGCCUCUGAUAAAUAAAACAGACUGCGAGGAAAAUUACAGCGAGGAAAUUACAGACAUCAUCUCCUUUGAACAGGGAAAAGGUAACAGCUGAUUGAGAAACUUACCAAACUGAUAUUUGGCUGUUAUUGGAGAGGCCUGAACUGGUUCACCAACACCAUACAUGUUUUCUGCAGCAACUCUGAAGAUGUACUCUUUAUUGGGGAUUAAUUUGGUGGCCUUGAAGUUUGUAUCCUUGACGGUGGAUGAGAGCUUGUGCCACACUUCACUAUCAGUUGCUCGUCUCUCCACAACAUAGUUUGUGAUCUUAGAUCCACCAUCAUCGCGUGGUUCUCCACAGGCAACCCAUUUAUCAGAACCACGUGGACAUCUUUCAACUAUCCUGGACAACAACCAUGUUAUUUCUUAGCCAUUGGACUUCCACCUUAUCUUUAUUGAGUUCUGCUAAAAAGACAACAUCAGCACCAGGGGCUUCAAGAAUAUCUUGUGGAGGCCUGAUGAUCUCAACAGGAAUUUCUGGAAAGAAAAUGUGAAAUAAAUACAAAUAUGUUUACAUUUUGAUUAACAAUUUUAAAAAAUUGGUAACAUUAGAAUUGUUUUUUCACUUAAUAUGUACCUUCCACAAAAAGUCUAGCACGAGACUUCCUGUCUUCUACCCCGCAAGCAUAUUCACACUCAUCAUCCAGCCUGCAAUCUUUUAUAAUGAGUCUGUGUAUACUUCCAUCUUUUUCAAAUUUGUAUCUAAAGGAGACAUUGGAUUAUCAGUUAGCUUGCAAUGAUGGCCACUAAAUUGUCAAAAGUGUAUAUAUAGCUACAGAAAUAGAGAAUAAAAAGAUCUUGCUUACUUUUUGCCUUCUUUGAUUUCUCUCCCAUUUCUGUACCAUUUUACAUUGGCUUUCUCUCUG